GGCAGCCGCGGUAAUUCCAGCUCCAAUAGCGUAUAUUAAAGUUGUUGCAGUUAAAAAGCUCGUAGUUGAAUUUCGGGGUCAGUAGGUUGGUCGUGCCACUGGUAUGUACUGGUCUCACUGAUUCCUCCUUCCUGAUGAACCGUAAUGCCAUUAAUUUGGUGUUGCGGGGAAUCUGGACUGUUACUUUGAAAAAUUAGAGUGUUUAAAGCAGGCUAACGCUUGAAUACAUUAGCAUGGAAUAAUGAAAUAGGACGAUCGAUCCUAUUUUGUUGGUUUCUAGGAUUGACGUAAUGAUUAAUAGGGAUAGUUGGGGGCAUUAGUAUUCAAUUGUCAGAGGUGAAAUUCUUGGAUUUAUUGAAGACUAACUACUGCGAAAGCAUUUGCCAAGGAUGUUUUCAUUAAUCAAGAACGAAAGUUAGGGGAUCGAAGACGAUCAGAUACCGUCGUAGUCUUAACCAUAAACUAUGCCGACUAGGGAUCGGAUGAUGUUAAUUUUUAAUGACUCAUUCGGCGCCUUAAC
rnacentral:misc_RNA from 1 species